rnacentral:rRNA from 1 species
AUGAAUUUCCUCAUUUGGAACUGUCGGGGAUUGGGGUUGGACCCGACAGUUGGAGAGUUGAGGGACCUAAUUAGGUCGUACAACCCAGCGGUGGUUUUUCUAUGUGAGACGAAGAAGAAGGCGCGAGCUAUGGAGAAAGUCAAAUGGAGUCUAGGGUUCCGGCACGGCGUUGCGGUAGAUUGUGAGGGAAGAAGUGGUGGAUUAGCUCUUCUCUGGAGGGAUCAUAUUCGGUCACUCUUAGACCUUGGUGCCAUUACUUUAUUGACGCGGGAAUCAUGUCAGAGGGAAGGACCGUUAGAUUCACUGGAGUCUACGGUGAACCUAGGACGGAGCACAGGCGGAAAACUUGGGAUGCCCUUCGUUAUUUGCAACGACAAGACAAUUUACCUUGGCUGUGUGCGGGGGACUUUAACGAGAUUCUGUUUCAAACAGAGCAGAAAGGAGGCAACCCGAGGAGCUUCCACCAGAUGGAGGAUUUUCCGGAGUGCCUUGGUGAUUGUGGAUUAG